UACGGGGGGGGCAAGCGUUGUUCGGAAUUACUGGGCGUAAAGGGCUCGUAGGCGGCCACCUAAGUCGGACGUGAAAUCCCUCGGCUUAACCGGGGAACUGCGUCCGAUACUGGAUGGCUUGAGUUUGGGAGAGGGAUGCGGAAUUCCAGGUGUAGCGGUGAAAUGCGUAGAUAUCUGGAGGAACACCGGUGGCGAAGGCGGCAUCCUGGACCAACACUGACGCUGAGGAGCGAAAGCCAGGGGAGCAAACGGG
rnacentral:rRNA from 1 species